rnacentral:rRNA from 1 species
GAUGAACGCUGGCGGCGUGCCUAAUACAUGCAAGUCGAGCGAACGGACGAGAAGCUUGCUUUUCUGAUGUUAGCGGCGGACGGGUGAGUAACACGUGGAUAACCUACCUAUAAGACUGGGAUAACUUCGGGAAACCGGAGCUAAUACCGGAUAAUAUUUUGAACCGCAUGGUUCAAAAGUGAAAGACGGUCUUGCUGUCACUAAUAAAUGGAUCCGCGCUGCAUUAGCUAGUUGGUAAGGUAACGGCUUACCAAGGCAACGAUGCAUAGCCGACCUGAGAGGGUGAUCGGCCACACUGGAACUGAGACACGGUCCAGACUCCUACGGGAGGCAGCAGUAGGGAAUCUUCCGCAAUGGGCGAAAGCCUGACGGAGCAACGCCGCGUGAGUGAUGAAGGUCUUCGGAUCGUAAAACUCUGUUAUUAGGGAAGAACAUAUGUGUAAGUAACUGUGCACAUCUUGACGGUACCUAAUCAGAAAGCCACGGCUAACUACGUG